UUAACGUCCGUUUUCCAUGCCGGCAUGGAUUGGACGGUCUGACAGGAGCUGUCCAGAUUCCAACUGUUUGUUGUGGCAUGGUUUCUACAGAUGGAUGCCCUUCCUAAUGCCAACCAUAUAACAGAGUGUGCUUUGUGCUUUUUAUGCACC